CAUGACCUGAGGGGAAAUCAAGAGUUGGAUACUUAACUGACUGAGCUACCCAGGUGUCCCCAUACAAGAAAUGAUUUUUGAGUAUCUGUAAUGUAUUAGCUGUAGAUUCUGGUUAUACAGAGUUACAAAGAAAAAGUCUUGGAAGAAGAACAUGGUGUAACUUGGUUAGAGAAUAUUCCUGUUAUACCUGUCAUCUAAACAGCGGUCGGAGAGGCUGUGAGAAUCUGUUUGCAAGCUCGAGCUGUUGGGGGCCCUGCAUACUAAUAACAAUGAGUACCACGUACAUCUUUCCCUCUGGAGAUCAUCAUAAUAAUUCUUUAGGGGAAGAGUGUUAUUAUGCUCUUUCCUCCUGGGGGCAACUAGGUGAAGUUGACAGUAAGUGGUAAAAUCUGAGAUAAAAUCCAAAUUCUAAGUUUACUCUGGUUGUUAGUGAGUUCCUGACUCCUUUGUUAAAGUCUCUGACCUCAGCCUUUGGACAGGGGAAGAAAAUCAACAAUAUUAAGAAAUAGCAACAACAAUAAUAGAUAAUGGCAUUCAGUUUGGCCUUGGCCAGAACAAGACCAUAAGAAUGGUUUUAUAAAAAUGAUACACAGUAUGUUUGUGUUAGUGUUGUCCCAAACACCUCCGUUAUUUCUAAGUUUUUUCCUGAAGGAAAGAAGGCUCUUCUUGACUAGAGGAGAGCUGGAAAAUCUGAGCUGCUUCUGCUUAUUCUAAUAGUCCCAGGAUCUGGGAAAAGAUUACUGUGUGAGCACGAUGAAAACAAGGCUAUGCUCCCAAGGCAGGUAGAGGUGACUGGCACUGGUCAAAGAGGUAUGUGGUCAUCAGGUUCCAGAAUCUGAUUUCAUUCUUUUGGACCAUGGAGUCAAAUGGAACCUCAAUACCCCAGGGGGCAAAUGCAGUCUUAAUUAUCUCAUAAAUGUUCUGGCUCAGUUUCUCCCUGUUCUUUAUCAGACUUUGAGAACCUACUAAGCUGCAAGUCUAUGGCUAGGCUGUGGGGACAACAAAGAGGAUUUGGCCCGACUGACCACCUUCUCCAGGUUCUUGUGGUCUAAUAUUCUAUGACUCUAUUUCACGGGCUUCUGUACCUGAAUAUUUCUGGAACACCAUGACUGGCUUUUGUGAUGAGAAUCUCUCUAGUACUAGGUCUAGCUACUCUGUCUCCCUUCAAAUGAAAUAACUGUAUCUCGUUAAAUGUAUUAUCCCAGGGACAUCUGGCUUUGGGAAGGGAUCAGCCAAUUCUAUAGUUAGGUGUGUUAAGUUUCUUUCUUUAUUUAAAUAGAUUUAUUUUUUUCAAAGCAGUUUUGAGCAAAAAGUAGAGGUAUUGAGAUUUCCUAUAGGCCCCCUACUCCCACACAUGUGUAGCCUCUCCCAUUAUCAGCAACCCCCACUGGAGUGGACAAUUGUUACUAUUUAUGGGCCUACGCCAUUAUCUAGAGUCCAUAGUUUACCUUAGGGCUUUCUCUUGGCUCAUUUUGGUGCUAUACAUGCUGUGGUUUGGAUAAAUGGGUAAUGACAUGUAUCUACAAUUAUAGUAUCAUAUAGAGUAUUUUCACUGCCUUAAAGAUCCUCUGUGUUCUGCCUCUUCCCCAUCUUCCUCCCCUCUAGACCCUGUGUAAAUGUGUUUUUCUUUGUCUGCAAUAACUCUCAAAUAUCAGACUUUCUGAUUUUUGUUUUAUUUUGUUUUACCUCCUCUCAUCCCUUUUCACAGAGAGGACAUUGGGGAAUCAGCCACUAAAAAUGAGAGGGAGAACAUGUAUACUUUGAUCCUAUCCAUGAAAUUACCAUUUCCCCCACACUGUAGCUCAUCUGCCUGAAACUCCAUGACUAAGAAAGAUUCCAGAUCAACUGAUUGUGCCAUUCUUGAGGGCAAUGGUAGAUGUCUUCCUGAUACCACAUUCUUAGACACCCUCUGCCUCAAGGUUUCUCUGAAUCCAGUUUCAGUUAUGGAUUUAGAUGAGAAAAAUAAGAAUUUAUUUGUCAUGCCUGUGGCACUUCAAAGAGAGCAGAAGAACUCCUCUCAUAGAAACUGUCCAGUAGGGAACAGAAUACUGGGGAGUCAUAUUUUAUAGUCAGAUUUUAAUCCCAACCCCCAACCCUUCUAUCUGUGCUGGGUAGAAGAUAACAGUGGGAUUAUAGUAUCAACUCUACUGAUUACUAAAUUCUCAGUACUUACUGUGUUCUGGCUCUGUCCCAAGCUGCACCACUAUAGGAGGUAGAUACUAUUAUUCCCUUGUUGCAUCUGGAAAAACUGAGGCAUAGAGAUGUUAAGGAAUUAGUUUAGGGACAGUGCUGGGAUUGGAACCUAGACACUCUCAUCUUACCUUUCUAGACCUCAGGUUCCUUCAAAUUGAAGUGAAGGUAUUGGGCCAUAUAAUCUCUAAGUUUAUUUCUAUUCUAAAACUCUAUGAGUCUUUGGGAUUUUACAGAUGGGGACCCCACUGUGACAACUGCAGGCUGCUUUGGUUCACGCAGAAAUCAUGAGAAGUACUGGUGAGUGCCCUGAUGAGCUAGUUCCGUCAAGACCGUAGGAGAUUUCCCUGCUGACUCCCUGUUUUAUUUUUGGUUUUGUUUUUUAGGACAUGAAGGUGGUACCCAUUGAGCCAAAGAGCUCAGUAUCUGUUUGUUAAAAGGAAGCAGGAAUUGACCCAUUUUUCUGAAGCCAAAGAAGCAGUAUCAAGUCCUAAAGAUAUUCAGUAAAUUUGGAAUAACACCCACCCCAGAGGACUGUUGAGAGACUCAAGAGAGAAGGUUCAGAGGAAUGCAGGAUCCUUUCCUUGUAUCUUCUCUGCCAUCCCUACAAUGUCACCCUCAUCCAGGUGGUUCAAGAUGAUUUACUACCAUACCCACAUCUCAUACAGCAGAAAGCGGGGGAAGAUGGAUGUGAAAGGUCUCUUGGAUCUGGUCCUAAAUGAUAUUUCAGACUUUCACUACCUCCUCUUCCAGCCUCCCCCUCAGCCGCUCACUAUAUUCUCCAUCACCAACUCUUCUGUAAUGAGAUUAGUUAAUCUUACAGCUUUAACUCAUUCUUCAAGGUCCAUUUCAAGCUAUAAUCAUGACAGCUGCCAAUCACCCAUCAUUUAUUAUAUUCCAGUUACCAGUUUACACAGAUUCCUUCAUGCAAUUUUCACAAAGACCCUGUGAAACCAUUGCUGUCAGGAAAAAAGAAGGGUAGAGUAACAUGGGCAAGUCUGAGAUCUCAUAAGAACUUGGAUUCAUGUCCAGACGAUCUGAGUCCACAACCCCAGUUUUUAGUCGUGAUUCUACUGCUCACAUGAUGAUGAAUUCAAUACAUCAUGUCAGAAUUCAAUACAGAUGAACGACCAUUUAUUUGGCAACUGCCAUGCAUAAGUCACUGUCACAGACUCUGGAGGUGUCGACAAUGGAAAGUUGAUUAAGAUGGUUCCAGCCAUCUUACUGACACAUUCUUCCUCUAGGUUCCCAAAUUGAUUACAGUUGACAUGACAUGAUGCUUUGAACACUGGUGUUCAUGCACAUUUUUGUCACCACCAAUACACUAUUACUUCCUUUUGCCUAGAGGCCUUUCUGUUUGUUUGCCUUCUAUAAAGGUAAACAAAGAUAUGUUUAUUGAAUUCAAAAGAAUUUCAUUCUUACUUCAACUUGUUCCGUCUUCCCCAGGGAACUUUCUGGGGCCCCAUCCUGUUCCUGCUGGAAAACAAUGUUAAUCAACUACUUGGGGGACCUGGGCCUUUUUCAUUUCAGCAUCUAAUAAUAAUAGCUAAUUUUUAUUAUGUACUUUCUUUAUUCUAGGCAUUUUUUAAAAAGAUUUUAUUUAUUUAUUUAUUUGACAAAGAGAGAGAUCACAAGUAGGCAGAGUCAGGCAGAG